CAUGGAAUAAUGGACUAGGAAUUCGGUUCUAUUUUGUUGGUUUUCGGAAACCCGAGGUAUGAUUAAGAGAGACAGACGGGGCAUUCGUACUGCGGUGUUAGAGGUGAAAUUCUUGGAUCGCCGCAAGACGAACAACUGCGAAAGCAUUUGCCAAGAAUGUUUCAUUAAUCAAGAACGAAAGUCAGAGGUUCGAAGACGAUCAGAUACCGUCCUAGUUCUGACCAUAAACGAUGCCAACUGGCGAUCCGAGAUCGUUUGCUUAUUGACCUCUCGGGCAGCCUCCGGGAAACCAAAGUUUUUUAGGGUUCCGGGGGAAGUAUGGUUGCAAAGCUGGAACUUAAAGGAAUUGACGGAAGGGCACCACCAGGAGUGGAGCCUGCGGCUUAAUUUGACUCAACAGGGAAAACUCACCCGGCCCGGACACGUGUAGGAUUGACAGAUUGAGAAGCUCUUUCUUGAUUCGGUGGGUGGUGGUGCAUGGCCGUUCUUAGUUGGUGGAAGCGAUUUGUCUGGUUAAUUCCGAUAACGAACGAGACUCUAGCCUGCUAAAUAGUACGCCGAUACCUUUUCGUCGGUGCUUGACUUCUUAGAGGGACAAGCGUCUUGAAGACGCACGAGAUUGAGCAAUAACACAGGUCUGUGAUGCCCUUAGAUGUUCGGGGCCGCACGCGCGCUACACUGAAGGGGACAGCGAGUUUUUCCUGGUUCGAAAGAACCGGGUAAUCUGUUGAAUUCGCCUUCGUGACAGGGAUCGGGGCUUGCAAUUAUUCCCCGUGAACGAGGAAUUCCCAGUAAGCGCAAGUCAUCAGCUUGCGUUGAUUACGUCCCUGCCCUUUGUACACACGCGCCCGUCGCUACUACCGAUUGAAUGGUUUAGCAAGGUCCUCGGAUUGGUGCCGACUUGGUGGCAACACUAGGUGGAUACUGAAAAGAAGAUCAAACUUGAUCAUUUAGAGGAAGUAAAAAGUCGUAACAAGGUUUCCGUAGGUGAACUGCGGAAGGAUCAUUA
rfam:Macrostomum lignano unitig_48474, whole genome shotgun sequence.